rnacentral:rRNA from 1 species
CUCUUGGGUCUGUCCUAAGUAAUCUCUGCCCUAUGAAUAGUUUAAAUGGCCGCAGUACUCUGACUGUGCAAAGGUAGCAUAAUCAUUUGCUUCUUAAUUAGAAGCCGGAAUGAAAGAGGCGACGAAAUCUAGGCUAUCAAAAUUUUUAGUAUAAAUUGACAACCAGGUCAAAAGGCCCGGAUGCUACAGGGGGACGACAAGACCCUAUAAAACUUUACCUUUCGCGCGGUGGUUAGCAGAAUGCCGCUGGGCACAACGGUUUUACUGGGGCGGUGCGUGUAAAAACAACUUGAGGUCUAAUAUAUUAAAUAAAGCGAUAUAACUCUUAUAGAAAUAGAAUAAGUUACUUUAGGGAUAACAGCGUAAUUACCCCAGAGAGUUCUUAUCGGCGGGGUAGUUUACGACCUCGAUGUUGAAUUGGGGUACCUUGUGCGGGCAGCUGUGCACAAAGAUAGUCUGUUCGACUAUUAAAUUCCC